rnacentral:rRNA from 1 species
AGAGUUUGAUCCUGGCUCAGGAUGAACGCUAGCUACAGGCUUAACACAUGCAAGUCGAGGGGCAUCAUGGAGUUUGCUUGCAAACUCUGAUGGCGACCGGCGCACGGGUGAGUAACGCGUAUCCAACCUUCCCUAUAGUAGAGGAUAGCCCGGCGAAAGUCGGAUUAAUACUCUAUGUUUUCCGUUGCAGACAUCUAAGAUGGAACAAAGGCUUGCCGCUAUAGGAUGGGGAUGCGUCUGAUUAGGUAGUCGGCGGGGUAACGGCCCACCGAGCCAUCGAUCAGUAGGGGUUCUGAGAGGAAGGUCCCCCACAUUGGAACUGAGACACGGUCCAAACUCCUACGGGAGGCAGCAGUGAGGAAUAUUGGUCAAUGGGCGAGAGCCUGAACCAGCCAAGUAGCGUGCAGGACGACGGCCCUAUGGGUUGUAAACUGCUUUUAUGCGGGGAUAAAGUUCACUACGUGUAGUGUUUUGUAGGUACCGCAUGAAUAAGGACCGGCUAAUUCCGUGCCAGCAGCCGCGGUAAUACGGAAGGUCCGGGCGUUAUCCGGAUUUAUUGGGUUUAAAGGGAGCGCAGGCGGAAGGUUAAGCGUGACGUGAAAUGUACCGGCUCAACCGGUGAUGUGCGUCGCGAACUGGCUUUCUUGAGUGAGUACGACGCUGGCGGAAUUCGUGGUGUAGCGGUGAAAUGCUUAGAUAUCACGAAGAACUCCGAUUGCGAAGGCAGCCGGCGAGUCCUCAACUGACGCUAAUGCUCGAAAGUGCGGGUAUCGAACAGGAUUAGAUACCCUGGUAGUCCGCACGGUAAACGAUGGAUGCCCGCUGUUGGCGACACACUGUCAGCGGCCAAGCGAAAGCGUUAAGCAUCCCACCUGGGGAGUACGCCGGCAACGGUGAAACUCAAAGGAAUUGACGGGGGCCCGCACAAGCGGAGGAACAUGUGGUUUAAUUCGAUGAUACGCGAGGAACCUUACCCGGGCUUGAACUGCAGCAGAACGAUAGAGAGAUCUUGAGNNUCGGGGCUGCUGUGGAGGUGCUGCAUGGUUGUCGUCAGCUCGUGCC